UACGUAGGGUGCGAGCGUUAAUCGGAAUUACUGGGCGUAAAGCGUGCGUAGGCGGUUCGUUAAGUUCGUUGUGAAAGCCCCGGGCUCAACCUGGGAACUGCAAUGGAAACUGGCGGGCUUGAGUAUGGCAGAGGGGGGUGGAAUUCCGCGUGUAGCAGUGAAAUGCGUAGAGAUGCGGAGGAACACCGAUGGCGAAGGCAGCCCCCUGGGCCAAUACUGACGCUCAGGCACGAAAGCGUGGGGAGCAAACAGG
rnacentral:rRNA from 1 species